ACACUCCAAGACGUGUACUGCUUCUACAAACACGUGUAACCCUUACCUCUCCCACUGAACUAAAUGGUUAAUACCUAAUUCCAUCUCCUCAUUCUCUCGCUUCUCUCCCUUCCUCUCUUACUUACACUUCUCUGUUACUAACUAAUAAAUAAAAGGUCACUUAGGCACAGGCUAUGGAGGCCUAAUUCCAAAUAAUAAUAGAGAAAUGUCACUAAGACGAUAGAUUGUGCAUUAGGAUUUAGGAGUACAAACAUGAGGUAAUCUAUAAGGCAGAGAUCUAUCAUCUGGCAGCACCAAAGUAUUACUACUGUUUGUCUAAAUAAACAGGGAAAAUCAGAUACAAUCCAAACUGGCAUGGAGUUCUUUUUUUGAUCCAUUUUUCUAUUCGGUAUGUAAUGAUGAUUGAAUUAUCUAGCUCAACAAUAAUUACACUUUUGAUCGUGUUUAAAAACUUCUCAAAGGGUUGCAUUAUAGCUAAGAUACCUUUUCGGUUGUAUUUUUCUGUUACAAUAAUUAAUUUAUUGCGUAAUUUCCUUGGUUGCGCA